GACGAACGCUGGCGGCGUGCCUAAUACAUGCAAGUAGAACGCAGUUGCGAACGGGUGAGUAACGCGUAGGUAACUGCCUCAUAGCGGGGGAUAACUAUUGGAAACGAUAGCUAAUACCGCUUACUGUGAGAUGGACCUGCGUUGUAUUAGCUAGUUGGUGAGGUAAAGGCUCACCAAGGCGACGGUACAUAGCCGACCUGAGAGGGUGGUUGGCCACACUGGGACUGGGACACGGCCCAGACGCCUAAGGGAGGGAGCAGGAGGGAAUCUUCGGAAAUGGACGGAAGUCUGAACGAGCAACGCCGCGUGAGUGGAGAAGGUUUUCGGAUCGGAAAGCUAUGUUGAUAGGGAAGCGGUAACUAACGAGAAAGGAACGGCUAACUACGUGCCAGCAGCCGCGGUAAUUC
rnacentral:rRNA from 1 species